rnacentral:lncRNA from 1 species
AUUAUUUACAGGGAAAUGAUUAAACUAAUGAACUUCUUCAAUAGGUUGAUGAAGAACUCCGAAACGUUUCUCCAGACGAACGAAGUACAUGUAACUUUAGGGACAAUACUGAGGAAAUGAGAAAAGGUGAAACAAUUAGAGAUGCAAUAGUAACUGAUAUGUGGUCUAAUUACAUUUUGUGUAAUUUAUGACAUUUAUAGAGUUUAUGAUGUUUGUAUGGUGUAUGACAUUUUGUAUGACUUAUGAUGUUUGUGUAACUUAAAUAUUUUAAUUGAAUGCUAUAAUU